UACGGAGGGAGCUAGCGUUGUUCGGAAUUACUGGGCGUAAAGCGCACGUAGGCGGCUUGUUAAGUCAGGGGUGAAAUCCUGGAGCUCAACUCCAGAACUGCCUUUGAUACUGGCGAGCUUGAGUUCGGGAGAGGUGAGUGGAACUGCGAGUGUAGAGGUGAAAUUCGUAGAUAUUCGCAAGAACACCAGUGGCGAAGGCGGCUCACUGGUCCGGUACUGACGCUGAGGUGCGAAAGCGUGGGGAGCAAACAGG
rnacentral:rRNA from 1 species